rnacentral:rRNA from 1 species
AUUGAACGCUGGCGGCAGGCUUAACACAUGCAAGUCGAACGGUAGCAGGUAAGUACUUGUACUUAUGCUGACGAGUGGCGGACGGGUGAGUAAUGCUUGGGGAUCUGGCUUAUGGAGGGGGAUAACGACGGGAAACUGUCGCUAAUACCGCGUAGAAUCGGGAGAUGAAAGUGUGGGACCUUCGGGCCACAUGCCAUAGGAUGAACCCAAGUGGGAUUAGGUAGUUGGUGGGGUAAUGGCCUACCAAGCCGACGAUCUCUAGCUGGUCUGAGAGGAUGACCAGCCACACCGGGACUGAGACACGGCCCGGACUCCUACGGGAGGCAGCAGUGGGGAAUAUUGCGCAAUGGGGGCAACCCUGACGCAGCCAUGCCGCGUGAAUGAAGAAGGCCUUCGGGUUGUAAAGUUCUUUCGGUGACGAGGAAGGUUGUUGUGUUAAUAGCGCAACAAAUUGACGUUAAUCACAGAAGAAGCACCGGCUAACUCCGUGCCAGCAGCCGCGGUAAUACGGAGGGUGCGAGCGUUAAUCGGAAUAACUGGGCGUAAAGGGCACGCAGGCGGACUUUUAAGUGAGGUGUGAAAUCCCCGGGCUUAACCUGGGAAUUGCAUUUCAGACUGGGGGUCUAGAGUACUUUAGGGAGGGGUAGAAUUCCACGUGUAGCGGUGAAAUGCGUAGAGAUGUGGAGGAAUACCGAAGGCGAAGGCAGCCCCUUGGGAAUGUACUGACGCUCAUGUGCGAAAGCGUGGGGAGCAAACAGG